rnacentral:rRNA from 1 species
CAAUAGCGUAUAUUUAAGUUGUUGCAGUUAAAAAGCUCGUAGUUGGAUUUCGGAUGGGACUUGCCGGUCCGUCGUUUCGAUGUGCACUGGCCAGUCCUAUCUUGUUGUCGGGGACUAGCUCCUGGGCUUCACUGUCCGGGACUAGGAGCUGACGAGGUUACUUUGAGUAAAUUAGAGUGUUCAAAGCAAGCCUACGCUCUGAAUACAUUAGCAUGGAAUAACACGAUAGGACUCUGGCUUAUCUUGUUGGUCUGUGAGACCAGAGUAAUGAUUAAGAGGGACAGUCGGGGGCAUUCGUAUUUCAUUGUCAGAGGUGAAAUUCUUGGAUUUAUGAAAGACGAACUCCUGCGAAAGCAUUUGUCAAGGAUGUUUUCAUUAA